rnacentral:lncRNA from 1 species
GAAAACAGAGAAUCAGCAACUAAACUGACACACAAAUAGAGAAACAAGAUGAACUAAGCAAACACAGAAAGCGAGAAUCAAGCACUGAACAAACAUAUAUAAUAUGCAAAGCAUUCCUUAAACAAUGUGCAACAAAGAAUGACUAGCCGUUAAGUUGAAUGUUUUUUUUCCAUCAGUACUGAAUUAACUUUUCCCUUUGUUUCUUCAAAAUAUCCAAAUGUGACAGAACAUUCUUAAAGUGGAUAUUUCUUUUUUUUUUUUUUUAUUGGCAACUUAAAGUAGAUAUUUCUUCUUUGCUAUGUUUCUGUUUGUUUUACCCUUUUGUUAGACUUAAUAGAUUAGAUAAUAUAGGAGAACUAUCCAUCUAUCAAUUUAGUUGAACAUUUAAAGUACUUACAAGACAGUUAAGGAACUAACUUUUUUCUUAUUCCUUCGUUGCAAAAUAGCAUAUAGAUUUUUUUUUUGGUGCUUUGAACUUUGACUUUUCCUAUAACAUGACUCAAUCUCUCAAUUCACCUUAAGAUAUACAAGGUUAGUCUAUCUUAUAUCAACAAACAGAUGGACAAAACAUAUUAUUACAAGAUCUAUAAACGCUUAAGAGAAGACAUAGUUCGAUAUUUAGGGUAAAGAUGAUAACCUUUUUCUUUUGGCUAUUGACAUAGCAAACUUCAUGCAUGUCUUGAGAAACAAAGAAUGUCAAUAAAAUCAAUUUAUUUAUAGAGAUUUUGGGAUCCACA